GUGAAUCAUCGAAUCUUUGAACGCAAAUUGCACUCUCCGGUUUUCCGGGAGAGUAUGCUUGUUUGAGGGUCAGCCUAAAAAAAAUCGACAUUGUUGCUGUUAUUUAAUGGUGACUUUCGUCGGAGAUUGGGUUAUCUUAAACAUUUUUUUUUUUUUGGUUUAAGGGAAUUAAAAUUUUUUUUCAGGAUUUCAUGAGAGGUUUUAAGAUUUUUAUUUUUUUUACGGU
rnacentral:misc_RNA from 1 species